CCGUGCUCGGCGGAGCUCCCGAGCCUGCGUCUUGCUGCCCCGUCGCAUGUUGCUUACUCGGAACCGUUUGGUCCCGGUGCAGCGGUGGCGGGCAUGUGAUCGCGGGCUCGGUUGUGGCCGUGUCGGCAUAUGAGUGGUUUUGGAUCCGAAUGUCCUGACGGGCUCCCUGCCUAUGUGCAGCCAACCGUCGCCGACGCGGUCCGUUCAUUUUCGUCGCCCGAGGAUCCUUUGAGUCUCGGUGCGUUGCUAAGUUGCCUGUGCGUAAAACCCCAUUUUAUGGGAACGACAUCUCGACCAUGCGCUCGACUCGCCCCAUCCUGCCUACAGGCACAGAGGGGCGGCACUACAUGCGAUCCUCAAGUUUCCCCCGGGAUGCGGGUGGUCAUGUUCGGCCGUCCGCACUCGGUGGGUGCUCGAGGCAUCGCAAGGACUUGCGGAAGCAGUGUAUGCGGAGAUCCCGUGGGCCGUGGCCUUCGGCCUCCUCUCGGUUGCGAUUCGGCUAUAAAAAAAAGUCGAUCCCGUUCGAAUGACUCUCGAGCCGCCGUAACCUCUCACCUCCCCUCCUGGGGAAGGCGCGGGGCACGACGACCGAUGUCAUCGAGGGCGUGC
rnacentral:misc_RNA from 1 species